UACGUAGGGUGCAAGCGUUGUCCGGAAUUAUUGGGCGUAAAGAGCUCGUAGGCGGUUUGUUGCGUCGGCUGUGAAAUCCCGAGGCUCAACCUCGGGUCUGCAGUCGAUACGAGCAAACUAGAGUGUUGCAGGGGAGACUGGAAUUCCUGGUGUAGCGGUGAAAUGCGCAGAUAGUCAGGAGGAACACCGGUGGCGAAGGCGGGUCUCUGGGCAACUACUGACGCUGAGGAGCGAAAGCGUGGGGAGCGAACAGG
rnacentral:rRNA from 1 species